UCUGGUGGUUCUAGCGAAGGGGUCACACCUGAUCCCAUCUCGAACUCAGAAGUUAAGCCCUUCUGCGCCGAUGGUACUUGGGCCUGAGCCCUGGGAGA
rnacentral:rRNA from 1 species